rnacentral:rRNA from 1 species
CGAACGGGUGAGUAACGCGUGAGGAACCUGCCUCAAAGAGGGGGACAACAGUUGGAAACGACUGCUAAUACCGCAUAAGCCCACGGGUCGGCAUCGACCAGAGGGAAAAGGAGCAAUCCGCUUUGAGAUGGCCUCGCGUCCGAUUAGCUAGUUGGUGAGGUAAUGGCCCACCAAGGCGACGAUCGGUAGCCGGACUGAGAGGUUGAACGGCCACAUUGGGACUGAGACACGGACCAGACUCCUACGGGAGGCAGCAUG